rnacentral:rRNA from 1 species
GUAGGGAAUAUUGGGCAAUGGUUGCAAGUCUGACCCAGCCAUCCCGCGUGCCGGAAGAAGGCCCUCAGGGUUGUAAACGGCUUUUGACGGUGAAGAAUCGACAGGAUGCGUCCUGUUUUGACGGUAGCCGUUGAAUAAGCACCGGCUAACUCCGUGCCAGCAGCCGCGGUAAUACGGAGGGUGCGAGCGUUGUCCGGAUUUAUUGGGUUUAAAGGGUGCGUAGGCUGGAAGGUCAGUCAGCGGUGAAAAGCUGUCGCUUAACGAUAGUCUUGCCGCAGAUACUUCCUUUCUUGGAUGAGGAGGAGGCCACUGGAACGGAUGGUGUAGCGGUGAAAUGCAUAGAUAUCAUCCAGAACACCGAUUGCGAAGGCAGGUGGCUGUACCUUAAUCGACGCUGAUGCACGAAAGCAUGGGGAGCAAACAGGAUUAGAAACCCUUGUAGUCC